AGGUAAUAUCAGCUUGUAUAUAUGACCUGAAGAAUCACAACGAGUUACAAAAUACAACAACGAAGAGACAAGUUUUGAAUUUAUAUCAAGCUGAAAUGCCUUGAUCAUGGGCCUAUUAUAAGACAUUUGAUACAUUAUUGCAGUUAUCUCACUGCAACAGAAAUCAACAAUUACAUUGAUACAACAGGUUUGCCAAAUCAGGAACAUUGGUAUGCACAGCUCUUCUAUUCAAGGUAUUAGUCAACUGAGACCGGCUGCAUGUUUUCAGCUUCCUUCCUUAGCUCUUCAAAUAGGACAGAAGACA
rnacentral:lncRNA from 1 species